rnacentral:rRNA from 1 species
CCCUAUGACCAAAUCGCACUGAAUGUGCCUAAUCUUGUCGGAUCUCAAAAGCUAAGCCGGCGUGAGCAUGGUUGCUACUCCGAUGGGGGAGUGUCUGGGAAUUCACAUGGUGGCCUACACU